rnacentral:rRNA from 1 species
UACGUAGGGUGCGAGCGUUGUCCGGAAUUAUUGGGCGUAAAGAGCUCGUAGGCGGCCUGUCACGUCGGAUGUGAAAGCCCGGGGCUUAACCCCGGAUCUGCAUUCGAUACGGGCAGGCUAGAGUGUGGUAGGGGAGAUCGGAAUUCCUGGUGUAGCGGUGAAAUGCGCAGAUAUCAGGAAGAACACCCGUGGCGAAGGCGGCUCUCUGGUACGUGACUGACGCUGAGACGCGAAAGCGUGGGGAGCGAACGGG